UACGGGCUAAAAUCUCCACCACCUAAGUUUUGAACACAAGUAAUGCAUCGGUAGAAAUCUAUGGCAUGUCUAUGCUUUCAAUACAAUCAAGCCAUUGUUAUAAAGAUAAAGCAAAUAAACUUCAUCCAGACUUGUCAAAACAUCCGCAUUCCCAUGGAAAUGUAACCUUCCCACUCUUUAGGAUGGGAAUCACAUUCCCAUGCAUAUGGAAAUGAGAUGGUAUAACCCAUACAUUAGAAAUGUAGCUUUCUCAAAAGUGUCACACCAUUGUAAAAAAAUAAAAUGAAAUAAAAUAAA
rnacentral:misc_RNA from 1 species